UCCUACGGGACGCAGCAGUGGGGAAUAUUGCACAAUGGGGGGAACCCUGAUGCAGCGACGCCGCGUGGGUGAAGGAGUACUUCGGUACGUAAAGCCCUAUCAGCAGGAAAGAAAAUGACGGUACCUGACUAAGAAGCCCCGGCUAACUACGUGCCAGCAGCCGCGGUAAUACGUAGGGGGCAAGCGUUAUCCGGAUUUACUGGGUGUAAAGGGAGCGCAGGCGGCGCGUUAAGCCUGGUGUGAAAGCCCGCGGCCCAACCGCGGGACGGCAUUGGGAACUGGCGCGCUGGAGUGCGGGAGGGGUG
rnacentral:rRNA from 1 species